AUGUUUUCUUUCUUCACAGCUGCUGGUCUCUGGGUUGUGUAUUUCAUUGCUGUGGAGGAUGAGAAAAUCACCCCACUCAGUUCAGAGUACAAGAGGUCAGAAUCAAAAUCUCCUCCAUAUAUCAGCAUCGCAGGCAACGCUCCACCUGCCAGCUGUGUGUUCAGUCAAGUCAUGAACAUGGCA